rnacentral:rRNA from 1 species
AUUGAACGCUGGCGGCAUGCCUUACACAUGCAAGUCGAACGGCAGCACGGGAGCAAUCCUGGUGGCGAGUGGCGAACGGGUGAGUAAUAUAUCGGAACGUGCCCAGUAGUGGGGGAUAACUGCUCGAAAGAGCAGCUAAUACCGCAUACGACCUGAGGGUGAAAGGGGGGGAUCGCAAGACCUCUCGCUAUUUGAGCGGCCGAUAUCAGAUUAGCUAGUUGGUGGGAUAAAGGCCUACCAAGGCAACGAUCUGUAGUUGGUCUGAGAGGACGACCAGCCACACUGGGACUGAGACACGGCCCAGACUCCUACGGGAGGCAGCAGUGGGGAAUUUUGGACAAUGGGCGCAAGCCUGAUCCAGAAUGCCGCGUGCAGGAAGAAGGCCUUCGGGUUGUAAACUGCUUUUGUCAGGGAAGAAAUCCUCUAGGUUAAUACCCUUGGGGGGAUGACGGUACCUGAAGAAUAAGCACCGGCUAACUACGUGCCAGCCGCCGCCGUAACAC